GACGAACGCUGGCGGCGUGCUUAACACAUGCAAGUCGAACGGAAAGGCCCUGCUUUUGUGGGGUGCUCGAGUGGCGAACGGGUGAGUAACACGUGAGUAACCUGCCCUUGACUUUGGGAUAACUUCAGGAAACUGGGGCUAAUACCGGAUAGGAGCUCCUGCUGCAUGGUGGGGGUUGGAAAGUUUCGGCGGUUGGGGAUGGACUCGCGGCUUAUCAGCUUGUUGGUGGGGGAGUGGCUUACCAAGGCUUUGACGGGUAGCCGGCCUGAGAGGGGGACCGGCCACAUUGGGACUGAGAUACGGCCCAGACUCCUACGGGAGGCAGCAGUGGGGAAUAUUGCACAAUGGGCGGAAGCCUGAUGCAGCAACGCCGCGUGCGGGAUGACGGCCUUCGGGUUGUAAACCGCUUUCGCCUGUGACGAAGCGUGAGUGACGGUAAUGGGUAAAGAAGCACCGGCUAACUACGUG
rnacentral:rRNA from 1 species